rnacentral:tRNA from 1 species
GGGAAGUUGGCUCAGUGGUAGAGCGCUUGCCUGGCAUGCAUGAGCCCCUGGUUCAAUUUCUCA